rnacentral:sRNA from 1 species
GCUAAGAUUCCUUGGUGCUUACCAUGUAAAGCUGUCGGGCUUCUAGCAGGAGGCCAGUGGCCAGCCACGAAGUGGUUGAAUCUGCCUAGAGUAACCAUUGACCAGCCCCAGAAACUAAUCAAGGGUGAAAUACAUGUGAACUGGCAAGCCUAGAUUCGAGAGGACAAGCGGGAAAGAGUGUCAUCAGAGAGUCUGCUGGGAGAGAAUGGAUAAAAGACUAUUAGAAGGACCCAUAGCCCUGAUGAUCUGGAAGACUGCACAGCCAUUGCAAUGCCUUACUCAACUUGCUUCUCUGCUAUCAUAGAUGAAGUGUCCGUUAUCAAAUCAUAAGCGUCCCCACGCUUAUGCGAGUGACCCUUGCGUUUCCCUGGCCACUCACUCCAUGGUGUUUUGACAAGACUUUCCUGUAGAGACCACAGUUGCCGCCAAGCACCCUGCACAGGACAGCUCCCUUCUGGCCCCAGUGAAGAACUCUGCUGGUGUUGAGACAACAUGGACCGGUAAAUAGGAAGCCCUUUACUGGCUGACAGGGUUGAUCUGCGGUUCGCACAGUGCAGCCUUCCUCAUUGCUGUGCAGGAACUCCCACUUCGGAAGAAUGAAUGAAAUUACGCAUGCAACGCCGGUGCGGCCUGGUCACUGGUUGCUGGGCAAAAGCUAAGUCCUCACUGCCAGCUAACUCAUCCUGGAGGGCCUAUGGCAGACUCUGGGACAUUCUUCAAUUCUUCCCACCCAUCCCCUCUUCGCUUUAGGCCUUGUUUCCCAUGGCCGUCUCCUCAUUGGGAACAGGAGUGGCCUUGGACACCUUUCAAAUGCGGGGGAGUUGGGAAGCCACACCUCAGUCUGCUUUUCUAUCUGCCAAAUUAUUAAAUUCCUCGUAGCCUUUCCUCUGGGUUCUAGUCUUGAAGGCUUUAGUUAUUUGGGUUUUCUCCCCAUUUGCUCUGUUCCUCUCAUAAAAGAACCCGCAGUCUAUCUUCCCCUUGGAAGGACUUGCCCAGUGAUUUUUAUAAGUCACGUGGCCUUCCUUUCACAUCUAUGCAUGAGGGCAACUUGAGUGACAGUCUGUGUGGCUGCCGAGGGAAUCUGGCCCACUUGGUUCAACGAGAAGUAAAACCUAUGGUGUUGUUCAGGGGGAAUGGCUCUAAAGACCUAGUUUAGUGCCUAGCUGGUAUCAUGCACCCAAGGACACAGUGGGGGACAUAGGUGACAGUUUUUCUUCUUUGGUCAUUAUG